CUCGGACCGCGAACACAGGUCAGGCAGGACCACCCGCCGAGUUUAAGCAUAUGAAUAAGAGGAGGAGACAAAACUUAUGAGGAUUCCCCUAGUAAUGGUGAGCGAACCGAGAAGUGCCCAGCUUGAGAAUCGGACAGCGGCGUCGCCAGAAUUGUGGUCUAUAAAGGCAGACCGGGCGCAAGUCCCCUGGAAGGGGGCGCUGGAUAGGGUGAGAGCCUAGUCACGCCCGGACCUUGGCGCAUCACAAGGCGC
rnacentral:rRNA from 1 species